rnacentral:rRNA from 1 species
AUUGAACGCUAGCGGGAUGCUUUACACAUGCAAGUCGAACGAGUGGCGGACGGGUGAGUAAUAUAUCGGAACGUGCCCAGUAGCGGGGGAUAACUACUCGAAAGAGUGGCUCAUCCGGCAUACUAUUGGAGCGGCCGAUGUGGGAUUAGCUAGUUGGUGGGGUAAAGGCUCACCAAGGCAGCGAUCCGUAGCUGGUUGGAGAGGACGACCAGCCACACUGGGACUGAGACACGGCCCAGACUCUCACGGGAGGAAGCAGUGGGGAAUUUUGGAAAAUGGGGUAAACCCUGAUCCAGCCAUCCCGCGUGUAUGAGAAGGCCUUCGGGUUGUAAAGUACUUUUGGCAGGGAAGCGGUAUCUGCAGAAUAAGCACCGGCUAACUACGUGCCAGCAGCCGCGGUAAUAC